rnacentral:rRNA from 1 species
CACUCCUACGGGAGGCAGCAGUGAGGAAUAUUGGACAAUGGGUGGAAGCCUGAUCCAGCCAUCCCGCGUGCAGGAAGACGGCCCUAUGGGUUGUAAACUGCUUUUAUCUGGGGAUAAACCUACUUACGUGUAAGUAGCUGAAGGUACCAGAAGAAUAAGCACCGGCUAACUCCGUGCCAGCAGCCGCGGUAAUACGGAGGGUGCAAGCGUUAUCCGGAUUUAUUGGGUUUAAAGGGUCCGUAGGCGGACUGAUAAGUCAGUGGUGAAAUCCGACAGCUUAACUGUCGAACUGCCAUUGAUACUGUUAGUCUUGAGUAAGGUUGAAGUGGCUGGAAUAAGUAGUGUAGCGGUGAAAUGCAUAGAUAUUACUUAGAACACCAAUUGCGAAGGCAGGUCACUAAGUCUUAACUGACGCUGAUGGACGAAAGCGUGGGGAGCGAACAGGAUUAGAAACCCUUGUAGUCCCAU